rnacentral:rRNA from 1 species
UCCGCGCCCCCGGGCGGGGCCGCGCCCGUCCCGCCGCCCCCGCCCGCCUACGGGAGGCAGCAGGGGGGAAUAUUGCACAAUGGGCGAAAGCCUGAUGCAGCAACGCCGCGUGAGGGAUGACGGCCUUCGGGUUGUAAACCUCUUUUAGCAGGGAAGAAGCGAAAGUGACGGUACCUGCAGAAAAAGCGCCGGCUAACUACGUGCCAGCAGCCGCGGUAAUACGUAGGGCGCAAGCGUUAUCCGGAAUUAUUGGGCGUAAAGAGCUCGUAGGCGGUUUGUCGCGUCUGCUGUGAAAUCCCGAGGCUCAACCUCGGGCCUGCAGUGGGUACGGGCAGACUAGAGUGCGGUAGGGGAGAUUGGAAUUCCUGGUGUAGCGGUGGAAUGCGCAGAUAUCAGGAGGAACACCGAUGGCGAAGGCAGAUCUCUGGGCCGUAACUGACGCUGAGGAGCGAAAGGGUGGGGAGCAAACAGGCUUAGAUACCCUGGUAGUCCACCCCGUAAACGUUGGGAACUAGUUGUGGGGACCAUUCCACGGUUUCCGUGACGCAGCUAACGCAUUAAGUCCCCGCCUGGGAGACGCCGACCGG